GUUCCGGCCAAUGGUAGUAGUCCGCUCGCUUGCCGUCCACAUAUGAGAUGGUUCGUGCUUCUACAAAGGUAUUAUCUCUCUACCUUCCCAUAGCCCAUGACCACCGAAUCCAGCUACCUCGCCUUGUUCUUCACUACAAUCUCUCCAAAUCAUCCGCUCCCAUGUCUCUCAGCUGCUGCUGGUUCUUGGUCUUCGUCGGGGUGUGGUGGCUGCCACUGAUGCUCCUGGGGUGGCCGAGGAGCAGCAGGGUGGAGACUGCUCGGCCCAGAUGUGCGGCAACGUCAGCAUCUUCGAUCCCUUCAGGCUCACUGGCUUGCAGACCGGAAGAUCAUGCGCUUCUUCUCCCCGGGAUUUUGAAGUAGCUUGUACUAACAACAGUUAUCCAUCUCUACGGAGCUCCAUACCCUUCAACAGGGGCUUCGAAAUCCUCAACAUCUCCUACGACGAACGCAGCUUGUAUGCGGUUGAUCUGGAAAAGCUGGAUUUAUGGCGUGCCCGCAACAGCUGCCGUGUACCGAUCUGGAACACCUCAGUCAAACUGAAUGGGCCAUUUAGGAUCGACCCCGCCAACCUCAACCUCAUCCUGUACAACUGCACGGCGGCGGCGGCCUUGGCACGUCGGGACGUACAGAGGCCUCGUGCAGACGAGCGUGAGAUGCGCGAACGAGUGGGAGGUGCUUGUCCGCGCCGGAGUACCUCACGACGCCACAGGGAACUACGCCGGCUAUGCAUUGGAAGGCUGCGCUGCUAUCGUCGUGCCCGUGUCGGGCUCGUCGGCGGGGCCGGGGAUAAACGGGAGCGGCUACGAGCAGCUCUUCAACGAUGGCUUCCUCUUGACAUGGAGUUGCCCGCCUCAGACCACUCUCCUUCCACGUAGCAAGACGACUCGCACGAGGAUUAUAACAAUAGCUUUGACAUCAGCAGCUGCAGCACUGCUCUUUCCAUGUAUUUAUGUGCUGAUAUGGUAUAUGACGGGUAAAAGAAACUGGUUUCUUAUCUGGAAAAAGAAAAGCAGCAGCACUGAAAGGCAUUAUGAGGCCAUGAUAGCGUGGUAUGGAUCACUUGCUCCAAAAAGAUACACAUACUCAGAGGUAAUGAAGAUAACAUCGUCUCGCCAUAAGCAGCUUGGUCAAGGUGGUUAUGGUGUGGUUUUUGAAGGAAAUUCUUGCAUGACUGCAAAGGAAAUGGGGAGGAGUUUGUGAAUGAGGUUACAAGCAUUGGCAUGACCUCUCAUGUCAAUGUUGUUAGCCUGUUUGGGAUUUUGUUUGGAGGGAUCAAAACGAGCUCUUAUAUAUGAGUACAUGUGCAAUGGUUCCUUGGAUAGAUACAUUUACUUAGAGAACCCAAAAGAAAUUUUAGGAUGGGAGAGGCUCUAUGCGAUAGCGAUUGGGAUAGCUCGUGGACUGGAAUAUUUGCACCAUAGCUGUAAUACACGGAUCGUCCAUUUUGACAUUAAGCCUCAAAAUAUCCUUCUAGACAAAGAUUUUUGCCCAAAGAUUGCCGAUUUCGGUCUUGCCAAGCUGUGUCGUACCAAGGAGAGCAAGCUUUCAAUGAUUGGUGCUAGAGGAACAAUUGGAUUCAUUGCUCCAGAAGUUCACUCACGAAACUUCGGACUUGUUUCAACGAAAUCAGAUGUUUAUAGUUAUGGAAUGAUGUUGCUAGAGAUGGUCGGAGGAAGGAAAAAUGUGAAAUCAGUGGCUGAAAAAUCUAGCGAAAAGUAUUUCUCAGAUUGGAUUUAUGACCACUUUGCUCAAGAUGAUGGAUUAGAAGCAUGCGAAGUUACAAGUGACAUUGAGGAAAUUGCAAGAAAGAUGACCUUGAUUGGCUUGUGGUGCAUACAUGUAUAACCUGUGUAUCACCCUACUAUAAUCAAAGUUCUAGAAAUGUUCGACAGAAGCUUCGAUGAUAUGGCCAUGCCACCGAAGCAGAACUUCAGUGGACUACUCGAAAUUGCAGCUCAUAAUAUGAAUGUACAAAAUGGAAGCUCUACGACAUCUGAAGAGAUAAGGCUUGUGAAUUCAGGAAAUACACAACAAUUUCCACCUCUUUGAGAAGGCUGUUAGUUGGGAAGGGCGUGUCAAACAUAAGAGGCACAAUGUCAUACCUUUGAUUCAUCUUACAUUAUGAGUGGCGACAACAAACUUGCAUAGCCGGUUAUAAUAAAACCCAUUGUUGAUAACAGUCACAGCAAUGUCACAGGCAUGCAUUAUAGUUCUGCAACAAACCAAAAUUAGCUUGCAUAUAGAGAUAUCUAUGCCAAUAAUUUUUUUUCUUCGACAGGCACCUAAAUGCGUGUCAUAUUUGUACUAGCGCAUACCAAGGUUGUACCACUUGCCAGUCACCAGGUGACCGAAGCCUCCUGUCACUGUAUUCCAGGAAGUACUAGCGCACGAAUUUUGUGUUCCGCCUUACAAGUUGGAAUAGAUAAAAGGAUUGGAUCUCGUGCCAAAGGCAGAGACUUACCAAGACCUUCCUGGCUGUAAUUUUUUUUCGAAGAUCAG
rnacentral:rRNA from 1 species